CAUCGAUCACUACCUUGCUGGUGCUUCACAGGGAUGGAACAGACUCAAAGUCCUUCAAUGUUGUUAACUUGUUGAAUGCCUUGUACACGCUGUUCAACGCCAUCAUUUCCAACUAUGACGUCUACAAGGUUGAAAGCAUCGACGAUGCCUACAUGUUGGUCUCUUGCCUACUGAUCCGUAAUGGCAGCCGUCAUGCUGGUAUGAUCGCCUCCGCUGCAUGGCAUCUUCUGGAGGGCGAUGAUAGUUGAUCAUGCCACACAAACAAGAUGAGAAACUCAAACUCCGCAUCGGUAUUCACUCAGGGCAAAGGUGAAAGUCUGACGUACUGGCUCGAGGGACAUGAUCCAUGCUACAAGAUCGACCGAAUCAAGCCACCCGAACAAAACUUGUAAACAACCAGAAUAUUAUCCCAACAUUAUCUGCAACGCAUUUGGAUCAGCAAUUUUUUGUAAAGAGGUGAUGGCAGAUCUACCAGCUCACUUCACAUCAGAGAGCUCUCUUGAGAAGCACUAUAGAAGCACUAUAAGGCCCAGGAGAAGGACUGCUUCUCACGGCUAGAACAGACUCAGACCAGAGCUCUCUUGAGAAGCACUAUACGGCCAAGGAGAAGGACAGCACCAAGUACACAUCACUACCUUGCUGAUGCUUCACAGGGAUGGAACAGACUCAGACCAGAGCUCCCUUGUACAUCGAUCACUACCUUGCUGGUGCAUCACAGGAAUUGAAGAGACUCAGAACAGAGCUCCCUUGAGAAGCACUAUACGGCCCAGGAGAAGGACUGCAUCAAGUACAUCGAUCACUACCUUGCUGGUGCUUCACAGGGAUGGAACAGACUCAGACCAGAGCUCCCUUGU
rnacentral:lncRNA from 1 species